rnacentral:rRNA from 1 species
AGAGUUUGAUCAUGGCUCAGGACGAACGCUGGCGGCGUGCUUAACGCAUGCAAGUCGAACGGAAAGGCCCCUGCUUGCAGGGGUACUCGAGUGGCGAACGGGUGAGUAACACGUGGGUGAUCUGCCCUGCACUUCGGGAUAAGCCUGGGAAACUGGGUCUAAUACCGGAUAGGACCAUUGUUUAGUGUCAAUGGUGGAAAGUUUUUUCGGUGCAGGAUGAGCCCGCGGCCUAUCAGCUUGUUGGUGGGGUAAUGGCCUACCAAGGCGACGACGGGUAGCCGGCCUGAGAGGGUGUACGGCCACAUUGGGACUGAGACACGGCCCAGACUCCUACGGGAGGCAGCAGUGGGGAAUAUUGCACAAUGGGCGCAAGCCUGAUGCAGCGACGCCGCGUGAGGGAUGACGGCCUUCGGGUUGUAAACCUCUUUCGCUAGGGAAGAAGCCACUUGUGGUGACGGUACCUGGAUAAGAAGCACCGGCUAACUACGUGCCAGCAGCCGCGGUAAUACGUAGGGUGCGAGCGUUGUCCGGAAUUACUGGGCGUAAAGAGCUCGUAGGUGGUUUGUCGCGUCGCUUGUGAAAACCCGGGGCUUAACUCCGGGCCUGCAGGCGAUACGGGCAUAACUAGAGUGCUGUAGGGGAGACUGGAAUUCCUGGUGUAGCGGUGAAAUGCGCAGAUAUCAGGAGGAACACCGAUGGCGAAGGCAGGUCUCUGGGCAGUAACUGACGCUGAGGAGCGAAAGCAUGCGUAGCGAACAGGAUUAGAUACCCUGGUAGUCC